rnacentral:lncRNA from 1 species
UAGCUACAACGUUUACAAAAAAUCAAAAGUCAAACAUUUUUUAAAGCGGAAUUGUGAAAUGUUAUUUAUCUAUUACUUAUCGUUUUAGUUCAAUGUUGUCAAAAAAGGCUAACAAAACUCGAUGGUGUAUUAUGUAUUUGCUUGCAAGCCAACAAUAUAUUUGAUUUCGUAUCAUUUUGUAAUAUAAUUCGACCUCUGAUCGGGAAUGGACUACGCAUUGACUAGAAGUUUUUAAAAACAAACGCAUGUCAACAUUGAAAAAGGAAACAGGGCAACCACCGGGAAAAUCUCUUUUGUUUACUUUUUGUUUCAAAAACAAGUUACCCGAUGACAUACACAUAUUUUAGAUCCAUUACAUGAGAUCAAAAAGACAUAGACAAAAUCGUCGUUAUAGAAUUACAAGUCCUUGCCUGACUAAUUGUAUGUCAGUUAUGUGAUCAUCUGGUCAUGAGACCUUCGGAAUUCUUCGGAGAUCAUCUCGAUGGUUAGUUAUAUGGCAUCGAUUCUAAAAUGCACAUGGAAAUAUGAUAAAUUAUAACGAAUCCAUGCGUAGUAUUGUUUGUUUGAUUGGCUUUGUAUAAAACGGACAAACGUUUUAAAAUUUUAUAAAUAGAAUAUGAGAUUUUGAGUACAGUCGAUAAUUAUGAACUUUUAAAGCAAAUACCCCUUUAAUAGAAAUAACACCCAACAAGUGGAUGUUACUAUUUUGUGUAUGAUGCUUGUAAUGUACUUAUAAACGUGUUUUUACAGCUAUUUUUGAUUUUCAUAGCCAUUGUGGUUUUUAGAUUACACAUCGAUAGAUUGUCAUUGUGUUUAUGCAUUUUUUAAAUCAAUUAUGAUUAUAGCAUUGUCAUUCAUA